rnacentral:rRNA from 1 species
UACGUAGGUGGCAAGCGUUGUCCGGAAUUAUUGGGCGUAAAGCGCGCGCAGGCGGUUCCUUAAGUCUGAUGUGAAAGCCCACGGCUCAACCGUGGAGGGUCAUUGGAAACUGGGGAACUUGAGUGCAGAAGAGAAGAGUGGAAUUCCACGUGUAGCGGUGAAAUGCGUAGAGAUGUGGAGGAACACCAGUGGCGAAGGCGACUCUUGGUCUGUAACUGACGCUGAGGCGCGAAGCGUGGGGAGCAAACAGG